rnacentral:pre_miRNA from 1 species
UGCACCAUGUGCACUUAACCCACUGCGCUACUGCCUGACCCCCAACCUUUAAAAUACCACUGGGCGGUAGCGCAGUGGGUUAAGUGCACAUGGUGCA